AUUGAACGCUGGCGGCAGGCCUAACACAUGCAAGUCGAACGCGUGGCGGACGGGUGAGUAAUGUCUGGGAAACUGCCUGAUGGAGGGGGAUAACUCCUGGAACCGGUCGCUAAUCCCGCAUACCAUCAGCUGUGCCCAUAUGGGAUUAGCUAGUUGGUUGGGUAACGGCUCACCAAGGCCACGAUCCCUAGCUGGUCUUAGAGGGUGACCGGCCACACUGGAACUGAGACACGGUCCAGACUCCUACGGGAGGCAGCAGUGGGGAAUAUUGCACAAUGGGCGAAAGCCUGAUGCAGCCAUGCCGCGUGUAUGAUGAAGGCCUUCGGGUUGUAAAGUACUUUCAGCGGGGAGGCGGUACCCGCAGAAAAAGCACCGGCUAACUCCGUGCCAGCAGCCGCGGUAAUAC
rnacentral:rRNA from 1 species